UUUUUUUUUUUUUUUUUUUUUUUUUUUUAGUACAGGCUCAACACAGAGGGAGAAGAUAAAAACACCCAUCUUCUAGUAUUUCCCUGGAAGAGGCUUACUGCAUAAUUUCCCAGCUGCUGUCUGGCUUCUAAUCAGCCUGCAGUUGCUUGCCAACUGGAUACUUCCCUUGGAACACUGAUGGACCUUGGCACACCCUCAACGACUAGGAGCCACUAAGAAUGAAGAAGGUGGCUUGGAUAAUCGUAAGAGUUUGAGAGACAACCAGGAACUUGGGCCAGGUUGAUUGACAAGGUUCAUCUUCUACACAAGACCACUCUCUGAAAACUGGGAAUGGUGGCUAUUUUAUAUAAUGCACAGAAACCAACAGAGACAGUAAAGAAAAUGAAGAAAUAAGACUGUGUUCCAAACAAAGGAACAAUAUAAAUCAGAAACUAAUCUUAAUGAAAUAGAUAAGUAAUUGAGCUAAUAAAGUUCAAAAUAAUAGUUAUAAAUAUGCUCACAGAGGUCAGAAGAGUAAUGGAGGAAUGAAGUGUAAAUUUCAACAGAGGUAGAAAAUAUUAAAAAGCACCAAACAGAAAUUACAGAGGUGAAGAAUACAAUCUCUGAACUAGGAAAUUCAAUAAAGGAGUUUAACAGCAGACUAGAUCAAGUGGAAGAAAGAAUCCAUAAAUUCAGAGGUAAGGCAGUGGAAUUAAUCCAAUCAGAGGAGCAAAAAGAAAAAAUUACAAAAAAGAGUGAGGUAACUUAAGGGAACAACAAGCCAAUACACAUUACAGGGCAUCCUAGAAGAAAAUGAGAGACAAGGGGGAAGAAAGUAUAAUCAAAGAAAUAAUGACUGAAAACUUCCCUAACCUGAGAAAAGAAGUAUAUAUCCAGAUCUAGGAAGCACAAAGAGUACCAAAGAAGAAUCUAAGAGAUCCACAUGGAGACACAUUGUAUUUAAAUUGUCAAAAGUUAAAGAUAAAGAGAAUCUUAAAAGCAGUAUGAAAAAAGCAAAUUAUUACAUACAAAAGACUCUGGUAAGACUAUGAGCAGGUUUUUCAGCAGAAAUUUUGCAGAACAGAAGGGAGUGGGAUAAUAUAUUCAAAGUGCUGAAAUUAAAAAUAACUGCCAACCAUGAAUACUCUUCCCAACAAAGUUGUCCGUCAGAGUUGAAGGAGUUAUAAUGAGUUUUCCUGACAAAUAAAAGAUAAAGGAGUUCAUCACCCCUAGACCAGCCUUAUAAGAAAUGUUAAAGGGAGUUCUUUAAGCUGAAAUGAAAGGAUGAUAAUUAAUCAUUUUAAAACAUAUGAUAGUGUAAAAUUCACUGAUAUAGUUAAAUAUGUAGUUAAAAUAUAGUUAAAUCUAGAAUACUCUAAUAAUGUAAUGGUUAUGGUUAAAUCAAUUAUAACUCUAACAUAAAGUUUAAAAAGACAAAAGUGUUAUAAACUAAAUAAUUUGUUAAUUACACAAUAUAAAAAUAUAUAAUUUGUAACACCAAAAACAUAAAAUGUGGACAAGAAAUAUAAAAAUAUAGAGCUUCUAUAAAUAUUCAAAGUUAAAUUGUUACCACUUUAAAAUAGUUUUUUUUAACUGUAAGAUGUUUUAUGUAAGCCUCAAGGUAACCACAAGGCCAAAAACUUGAUACAAAAUAGAUAAAGAGAAAGAAAACAAAAUCUACUAUUACAGAAAAUCAUUAAAUCAAAAUGGAAGACAACAAGAAUGGAAGGAACAAAGGAGCUGCAAAAUGGCCAGAAAACAACAAAAUGUUAAUAGUAAGUCCAUGCCUUUCAAUAAUUAUUUUAAAUGUAAAAGGACUAAAUUCUGUAAUCAAAAGCCAGAGUAGAUAAAAAUCAAGAUAAAAAGGAUACAAGAUAAAAACAUGGAUUUAAAAAAACAAGACCCAAUUAUAUAUGGCCUACAAGAGACUCACCUUAGCUUUAACAACACAUGAAUACUAAAAGUGAAAGGAUGAAUAAAGAUCCUACGUGCAAUAGAAACCAAAAGAAAGCCAGGUAACUAUACUCAUAACAGACAAGAUAGACCCUGAGCCAAAUACUGUUAUCAAGACAAAGAAGGUCAGUAUAUAAUGAUAAAAUAGGUCAUCAAGAGGGUUUAACAGUUGUAAAUAUUUAUGCACAUAACAUUGGCAUACCUUAAUAUAUUAAGCAAUAUUAAUAGACCUAAAAGAAGAAAUAGAUAGCAAUAAUAGAUGAGUUCAAUACACUGCUUUCAAGAAUGGAUAGAUUAUACAGACAGAAAAUCAGUAAUGAAGCAAAGAACCUAAACUACAUGUUUAUCAACAGCAGUAGAAUACAUAUUCUUCUUAAGUGAGCAUGGAACCUUCAUGAAGAUAGUCAUAUGUUGGGCCACAGAACAAGUCUUAAUGAAUUUAUGAAGACUAAAAUCAUAUCAAGUGGGAUGCGUGGGUGGCUUAGCUGUUGAGUGUCUGCCUUCGGCUCAGGGCGUGGUCCUGGAGACCCUGGAUCGAGUCCCGCAUCAGGCUCCCUGCAUGGAGCCUGCUUCUCCCUCUGCCUGUGUCUUUACCUCUCUCUCUCUGUCUUUCAUGAAUAAAUAAAUAAAAUAUUUUUUAAAAAAUCAUAUCAAGUAUCUUUUCUGACCACAAUGGUAGAAAUAAGAAAUCAGUUAUAACAAGAAAACUGAAAAAUUCACAAAUAUGUGGAGAUUAAAUAUGUUACUGAGUGAUCAGUGGGGGAAAGAAUAAAUCAAUAGAGAGAUCAAAGCAUAUUCUGAGACAAAUGAAAAUGGAAUCACAAUGUAACAAAACAUAGGAUGCAGCAAAAGCAGUUCUAAGAGAAAAGUUUAUAGAAGGGCGCCUGGAUAGCUAGCUCAGUUGGCUAAAUGUCCAAAUCUUGAUUUUGGCUCAGGUCAUGAUCUCAGGAUUGUGAAAUGGAGCCCUCACAUGAAGCCUGCUUAGGAUUCUCUCUCUCUCCCUCUCUUAAAAAAAAAGAGGAAAGUUUAUAGAAAGAAAUGCCAUAAUAAAAAGAGAGAAAGAGAGAUAAAAAAAACAACAUUACACAUCAAAGUAUUAGAAAAAGAACAAAAUUCUUUUAGCCCAAGAUAAGUAGAAGAAAAGAAAUAACAAAGAUCAAAUUGGAAAUAAAUGAAAUAGAGGUUUAAAAGAGAGAGAGAAAACAUCAAUGAAUAAAACUAAGAGCCAGUUUUCUGAAAAGAUAAACAAAACUAACAACUUUCAACUACUUUAACUACACUAAUUUUACAAAGAGGGAAAAGUCAAACCAAAUCAGAAAUGAGAGGAGAAUGUAUAACUGAUGCCACAGAAAUACAAAAGAUCAUAAGAGACUACUGUGAACAAUUAUGUGCCAAAAAAUUAGAUAACCUAGAAGAAUGGAUACAUUCCUAGAAACAUGCAACCUACCAAGACUGCAUCAUGAAGAAACAGAAAAUCUGAAAAGAUCAGUUAUUAGCAAGGAGAUUGAACCAGUAAUCAAAACCUCCCAAUAAAGAAAAGUCUAGGACCAGAUAGCUUCAAUAGUGUAUUCUACUAAACAUUUAAACAAGAAUCAAUACCAAUUAUUCUCAAGCUCUUUCAAAAAACAGAAGAGGAAGGAACACUUCUAAACUCAUUUUAAGAGGCCAGCUUUACCUUGAUACCAAAACCAAACAAGGACACUACAAGAAAUGAAAAUUACAGGGCAAUAUUACUGAUGAACAUAGACACAAAAAUUCUCAACAAAAUAUUAGCAAACUGAAUUCAAUGGGGCAUUAAAAGGAUCAUAAGUCAUGAUCAAGUGGGACUUAUUUGAGGGAUGCAAGGACAGUUCAGAGUCUGCAAAUCAAUCAAUGUUAACAAAAUGAAAGUUAGCAAUCAUGAUCAUCUUGAUAGAGGCAGAAAAAGCAUUCACAAAAAUCCAAACUUCUUUUAUGAUAAAAACUAUUAACUAACUGGGUGUGGAAGGAACAUACUUCAACAUAAUAAAAACACAUAUGACAAACCCACAGCAAACUUCAUACAUAGUGGCAAAAGGAAGCACUGGCUAGAACUGUUGAAACCACUUUAUGUUUUGCAUUUUGGCCUGUUUCUUUUCAAUGUCUUCUCUAUCUUCUCUUGUUCAU
rnacentral:lncRNA from 1 species